UAAAAGAUAAGCUAAAUCUCAAGCUGAUGGGUUCAUACCCCAUCUAUGGAAACUAUCCUCUUUUUA
rnacentral:tRNA from 1 species